UCAUUCUCUGCCGUCGAUGGUGUUUUCUCCGCCACAUCGACGGCGGAGAAUGGUGGGUCAUCCGUGAAAGCAGAAAAGGCUGACGCCGUGACAAAACAAUUCUUAGACCCAAUUGCAUUCACUGCCACACGGCUCUUGUUAUAGUGAUGGGCCACGUCUCCAUUUUCUUGCACCCAUUAAUACCCAGACAAUUUCUCACUAUUUACAACUAACUUAGCAUCACAAAACCGCAAACGGAUGGUCUUUUUCGUCAUUUCAUCACUGAUAUGCUAAAAUAUCUACUCUUCCCAGUUUGAAAUUCCAACUCUGUUUUCCUCUUUCACUCAUUUGAGUACUCAUCGGAGAUGGCGGUAGUAGUCGGAAACAUAGCACUAUUGCUUGACGGAACUCACUUGACCACUCCACGUGCCGUAGUCUUACCAGAUCGGAAAACGAGGGAUGUUCUGUUGAACUUUUUUGUGAAGAAAGACCCAUGUCAGAAUCAGAGCAUGUAUGCUUCUAGUGGGUUUGAAAAUGAAAGAGAAAGAGUCAAUCCGAAAGUGGGUUUUCGGGGUAAAGCGAAUUCGAAAGUGGGUGCGGUUGAUUAUGAGAAUUCAAGUGAUGAUGAGAAUGGAAAUGGUGUUGAAGAUGAAGGAGAAGGUGGUGGAGGAGGAGAAGAGUUCGAUUGGGAGAAAGAAAUGAAGAGGAGAGUUAAGGAGCUAGAGGAAAUGAAGGAAUUGGAGAAAAAAGCUGAGGAAUUGCAGAAUCGUGUUGAUGAGGAGUAUGGUGAAGAAGGUGAAAUCAGUGAAGAAACUGAGAAGGAGAAACGUGAAAGAGUUCGAAGGGAGCUCGAAAAGGUGGCAAAGGAGCAAUCGGAACGCAGAAAAACUGCUCAAUUAAUGUUCGAUUUGGGCCAGAAGGCUUAUGGGAAGGGCAUGUAUGGACGUGCAAUAGAGUUCCUUGAAGGUGCUCUUACCAUCAUUCCUAGACCAACCUUGUUUGGUGGAGAGAUACAAAUAUGGCUUGCUAUGGCUUAUGAAGCUAAUAACCGCCAUUCAGACUGCAUUGAUUUGUAUAAGCAACUAGAAAGGAAACAUCCCAGUGUCAGCAUCCGACGUCAAGCUGCAGAGCUUCGUUAUAUAUUGCAAGCACCUAAGUUGAAGAUAUCUCAAGAAGAAAUGGUUACUAUACCACUUAUUGGUUCUAGCUAUGAUAGUGGGCAUGAUAUGCAAGUGCGUGGGGCAAUCAAUAUGUUACAUUAGUGGUUCGUCGUUUUAAUACGAUAAUGAAUUGAUCAUAAAGUUACUAGCUGGCAUCAAUAUAAUUGUAACAGUAAUUUAAUUAAAGUUCUUUACCCAAGAAUGUGACUUUAGUGGUAAAUGAAGUGGGUGUGAACUUUGAAAACCAUGGUUCAACUUCCAGCAGAAACGAAAACAUCUAGGUAAUUUCUUCUGAUCUGCUGAAGCCUUGAUAAGCAUUGGGCGAAGUUAUCUGAUACCUGUAUGUAAUGGUUGGAGGUAGUACAGGUAUGUGGUGAAACAGUCCAGCGAAAUUGACUAUUACACCACUGUUAUUUUUGUGCUACUUUUAGCAUCCAUGGAUUAUUGGAAAAUUUUGUAAUAUAUGCCUCCAUGAUAUCUAUUGGUUAAAGCAUAGAUGUAGCAGGAAAGUUGAACAAUUGAAAUUAUCUUUUGCUUUUGGGGUAAGUAAAAUAAAUUAUAUUUACCAAUUGGAAUAUUGCAACACAAAGUCAAAAAGCACUUGAAACUAAUUGAAGCUGAGCAAAAUGGCUCCAGCAUCAGUUGUAAGCUACUCUUCCACUGGUCCAUGCACUCCUCUAUCUAUAGUACAUCAACAACCUAUGUUGCUCGGACUCUUCAAAAAUACUGCCGCCCCCAUGUCGGAUCCUCCAAAAAUGCACUAGUUUUGGAGGAUCUGACUUGUACCUGUCAAAAGUUUUGAAGAGUUUGAGCAACAUAGUUCAACAACAGCAUACCUGGUAACAUCUGACAGGUGGGGGUUGAGUGUACAUAGACCUUCUUCCUACCUUGUGGAGGUGGAGAGACUAUAUCCGAAAGACCCUCGACUCAAGCAAUGCAUAUCAAAGUAGUUUGAUUUAUUUUUUUCCAAAAGUAAAGAAGGCAUAGCAAAUAAUAGGGAAAGCCUUACAUAACAUUUAACAACAGCAAAAUACUGCGAUAAUUGAUGCACAAAAACAACAGGUAGAAUCAGGAAUCAGAGGACAAGAAAGGAGCUACGAGAAUAAUGCUAAACUAUCUUAUAGUCCAUAUAGUAGAUUCUACUAGAAUAGAAGUUCAAGCUUUCCAUCUUCUUUGCUAGUUUAGCCGUCAAGGUUCCCCUAAAGACAACUUCUUGGAUAAUCAUCCUGACUAUUGCUCCCACAGUCCUCUGCUUUCCCUGGAAGAUUCUCAUAUUCCACUCUUGCCAAACAUAGUAUAAUGAACGAGCCAUUGCCAUUCUAUACACUUCAGCAGCUGAACUCUUUCCCUUGCAAUUUACUGCUGUCCACUGCACCUUUUCCUGCCAAAGCAGCAUUUGCCUCUGUAUCCCCUGCUAUUGAAGAAUAUUACUCCAUAAAUUAGCAGAUAUACUCACAUUCAAAGAAAAGGUGAGAGAUACUUCCAUUUGCAGCUACACAAGGGACAAUACAGGUUAUCAACAACACUCCAGUGAGCUAGUCUGUCUCUAGUGUAGAGACUUCAAUGGGCAGCCAGCCUCAGCAUAAAGAUCCAUUUUGGGGUACCUUGGGUCAGACACACUAGUCUUCUCCCUGACUCCCUGUCAUCCUCACAACCUUGCCUCUCAGCUUCACAUAGAUCUUUCUGAUAGAAAAGGUUUGCAUUUUGAACAGGUUAUUAGCUUUUUAAGUUAUGCUGGAUCAUGGACUGACAAAAAGAAGGACCAAGAUGAAAGACAAAGUCGGUCUACAACAAAUCAGCUUCCAUCGAGCAGGGACUG